rnacentral:rRNA from 1 species
CCUACGGGAGGCAGCAGUGAGGAAUAUUGGUCAAUGGACGAGCGCCUGAACCAGCCAAGUCGCGUGAAGGAUGACUGCCCUAUGGGUUGUAAACUUCUUUUAUAUGGGAAUAAAAUGUUCCACGUGUGCGUUUUUGUAUGUACCAUAUGAAUAAGCAUCGGCUAACUCCGUGCCAGCAGCCGCGGUAAUACGGAGGAUCCGAGCGUUAUCCGGAUUUAUUGUGUUUAAAGGGUGCGUAGGUUGAUUAUUAAGUCAGUUGUGAAAGUUUGCGGCUCAACCGUAAAAUUGCAGUUGAAACUGGUAGUCUUGAGUACAGUAGAGGUAGGCGGAAUGCGUGGUGUAGCGGUGAAAUGCUUAGAUAUCACGCAGAACUCCGAUUGCGAAGGCAGUUCACUGGACUGCAACUGACACUGAGGCACGAAAGUGUGGGGAUCAAACAGGAUUAGAUACCCGGGUAGUC